GCAAAAAUUUAGUCAGGAAAUAGUUUAAAAUAGAAUGUCAGCUUUGGGUGUUGAUGGUGGAGCGAGUGCUCUUUUCCUGA
rnacentral:tRNA from 1 species